GUAAUGCGCACUGACGACCCAUCAUGAGCGAGAAACCAACUUUGCGUUUACCAAUCUAUCUGAUUC